rnacentral:rRNA from 1 species
AGUGAACGCUGGCGGCAUGCCUAACACAUGCAAGUCGAACGACCGCACAGUAAGAUCUUGCUCUUACCGGUGGCGAGUGGCGGACGGGUGAGGCAUGCAUCACCUACUUCUUUUUCGUGGGGGACAACGUAGGACCACUUACGCUACUACAGCACAUGUCCAACGGCUGAAAUCAAGGGUUCUUCAGACCUUUCGCGAUUCAAUGAGCCGAUGUCGCAUUAGCUAGUUGGCUUGGUAAGGGCCCACCAAGGCGACGAUCCGUAGCUGAUCUGAGAGGGUGAUCGGCCACACUGGAACUGAGACACGGUCCAGACUCCUACGGGAGGCAGCAGUAGGGAAUAUUGGACAAUGGGCGAAAGCCUGAUCGAGCAAUACCGCGUGAGUGAUGAAGGUCUUCGGGUUGUAAAGCCCUUUUAUUAGGAAAGAAAAGAAGCGGAUUAAACCCUCGCUGUUCUGACGGUACCCAAAGAGUAAGCACCGGCUAACUUCGUG